CUCAGAACGAACGCUGGCGGCAGGCCUAACACAUGCAAGUCGAGCGAGGACUUCGGUCCUAGCGGCGGACGGGUGAGUAACGCGUGGGAACGUGCCCUUCACUACGGAAUAGUCCCGGGAAACUGGGUUUAAUACCGUAUACGCCCUUCGGGGGAAAGAAUUUCGGUGAAGGAUCGGCCCGCGUCUGAUUAGGUAGUUGGUGGGGUAACGGCCUACCAAGCCUACGAUCAGUAGCUGGUUUGAGAGGAUGAUCAGCCACACUGGGACUGAGACACGGCCCAGACUCCUACGGGAGGCAGCAGUGGGGAAUCUUAGACAAUGGGGGCAACCCUGAUCUAGCCAUGCCGCGUGAGUGACGAAGGCCCUAGGGUCGUAAAGCUCUUUCACCAGGGAAGAUAAUGACGGUACCUGGAGAAGAAACCCCGGCUAACUCCGUGCCAGCAGCCGCGGUAAUACGGAGGGGGUUAGCGUUGUUCGGAAUUACUGGGCGUAAAGCGCGCGUAGGCGGACUGUUAAGUCAGGGGUGAAAUCCCGGGGCUCAACCCCGGAACUGCCCUUGAUACUGGCAGUCUCGAGUUCGAGAGAGGUGAGUGGAACUCCGAGUGUAGAGGUGAAAUUCGUAGAUAUUCGGAAGAACACCAGUGGCGAAGGCGGCUCACUGGCUCGAUACUGACGCUGAGGUGCGAAAGUGUGGGGGGCAAACAGGAUUAGAUACCCUGGUAGUCCACACCGUAAACGAUGAAUGCCAGACGUCGGGCAGCAUGCUGU
rnacentral:rRNA from 1 species